GGUUAAGCGACUAAGCGUACACGGUGGAUGCCCUGGCAGUCAGAGGCGAUGAAGGACGUGCUAAUCUGCGAAAAGCGUCGGUAAGGUGAUAUGAACCGUUAUAGCCGGCGAUGUCCGAAUGGGGAAACCCAGUGCAAUUCGUUGCACUAUCGUUAACUGAAUACAUAGGUUAACGAGGCGAACCGGGGGAACUGAAACAUCUAAGUACCCCGAGGAAAAGAAAUCAACCGAGAUUCCCCCAGUAGCGGCGAGCGAACGGGGAGCAGCCCGGAGUCUGAAUCAGCUUGUGUGUUAGUGGAAGCGUCUGGAAAGUCGCAGGGUACAGGGUGAUACUCCCGUACACUAAAACACACAGGUUGUGAACUCGAAGAGUAGGGCGGGACACGUGGUAUCCUGUCUGAAUAUGGGGGGACCAUCCUCCAAGGCUCAAUACUCCUGACUGACCGAUAGUGAACCAGUACCGUGAGGGAAAGGCGAAAAGAACCCCGGCGAGGGGAGUGAAAAAGAACCUGAAACCGUGUACGUACAAGCAGUAGGAGCCCACUAGUUGGGUGACUGCGUACCUUUUGUAUAAUGGGUCAGCGACUUAUAUUCUGUAGCAAGGUUAACCGUAUAGGGGAGCCGCAGGGAAACCGAGUCUUAACUGGGCGUUAAGUUGCAGGGUAUAGACCCGAAACCCGGUGAUCUAGCCAUGGGCAGGUUGAAGGUUGGGUAACACUAACUGGAGGACCGAACCGACUAAUGUUGAAAAAUUAGCGGAUGACUUGUGGCUGGGGGUGAAAGGCCAAUCAAACCGGGAGAUAGCUGGUUCUCCCCGAAAGCUAUUUAGGUAGCGCCUCGUGAAUUCAUCUUCGGGGGUAGAGCACUGUUUCGGCUAGGGGGUCAUCCCGACUUACCAACCCGAUGCAAACUACGAAUACCGAAGAAUGUUAUCACGGGAGACACACGGCGGGUGCUAACGUCCGUCGUGAAGAGGGAAACAACCCAGACCGCCAGCUAAGGUCCCAAAGUCAUGGUUAAGUGGGAAACGAUGUGGGAAGGCCCAGACAGCCAGGAUGUUGGCUUAGAAGCAGCCAUCAUUUAAAGAAAGCGUAAUAGCUCACUGGUCGAGUCGGCCUGCGCGGAAGAUGUAACGGGGCUAAACCAUGCACCGAAGCUGCGGCAGCGACACUAUGUGUUGUUGGGUAGGGGAGCGUUCUGUAAGCCGUUGAAGGUGGCCUGUGAGGGUUGCUGGAGGUAUCAGAAGUGCGAAUGCUGACAUAAGUAACGAUAAUGCGGGUGAAAAACCCGCACGCCGGAAGACCAAGGGUUCCUGUCCAACGUUAAUCGGGGCAGGGUGAGUCGACCCCUAAGGCGAGGCCGAAAGGCGUAGUCGAUGGGAAACAGGUUAAUAUUCCUGUACUUGGUGUUACUGCGAAGGGGGGACGGAGAAGGCUAUGUUGGCCGGGCGACGGUUGUCCCGGUUUAAGCAUGUAGGCGGAUGUUCCAGGUAAAUCCGGAACGUUAUUAACGCUGAGGUGUGAUGACGAGGCACUACGGUGCUGAAGUGACAAAUGCCCUGCUUCCAGGAAAAGCCUCUAAGCAUCAGGUAACAUCAAAUCGUACCCCAAACCGACACAGGUGGUCAGGUAGAGAAUACCAAGGCGCUUGAGAGAACUCGGGUGAAGGAACUAGGCAAAAUGGUGCCGUAACUUCGGGAGAAGGCACGCUGAUGGUAGGUGAAGUGACUUGCUCAUGGAGCUGAAAUCAGUCGAAGAUACCAGCUGGCUGCAACUGUUUAUUAAAAACACAGCACUGUGCAAACACGAAAGUGGACGUAUACGGUGUGACGCCUGCCCGGUGCCGGAAGGUUAAUUGAUGGGGUUAUCCUCGCGGAGAAGCUCUUGAUCGAAGCCCCGGUAAACGGCGGCCGUAACUAUAACGGUCCUAAGGUAGCGAAAUUCCUUGUCGGGUAAGUUCCGACCUGCACGAAUGGCGUAAUGAUGGCCAGGCUGUCUCCACCCGAGACUCAGUGAAAUUGAACUCGCUGUGAAGAUGCAGUGUACCCGCGGCAAGACGGAAAGACCCCGUGAACCUUUACUAUAGCUUGACACUGAACACUGGUCCUUGAUGUGUAGGAUAGGUGGGAGGCUUUGAAGUGUGGACGCCAGUCUGCAUGGAGCCGUCCUUGAAAUACCACCCUUUAAUGGCUGGUGUUCUAACGUUGGCCCCUAAUCGGGGUUGCGGACAGUGUCUGGUGGGUAGUUUGACUGGGGCGGUCUCCUCCUAAAGAGUAACGGAGGAGCACGAAGGUCAGCUAAUCCUGGUCGGACAUCAGGAGGUUAGUGCAAUGGCAUAAGCUGGCUUGACUGCGAGCGUGACGGCGCGAGCAGGUGCGAAAGCAGGUCAUAGUGAUCCGGUGGUUCUGAAUGGAAGGGCCAUCGCUCAACGGAUAAAAGGUACUCCGGGGAUAACAGGCUGAUACCGCCCAAGAGUUCAUAUCGACGGCGGUGUUUGGCACCUCGAUGUCGGCUCAUCACAUCCUGGGGCUGAAGUAGGUCCCAAGGGUAUGGCUGUUCGCCAUUUAAAGUGGUACGCGAGCUGGGUUUAGAACGUCGUGAGACAGUUCGGUCCCUAUCUGCCGUGGGCGCUGGAGAAUUGAGGGGGGCUGCUCCUAGUACGAGAGGACCGGAGUGGACGCAUCACUGGUGUUCGGGUUGUCAUGCCAAUGGCAUUGCCCGGUAGCUAAAUGCGGAAGAGAUAAGUGCUGAAAGCAUCUAAGCACGAAACUUGCCCCGAGAUGAGUUCUCCCUGACCCUUUAAGGGUCCUGAAGGAACGUUGAAGACGACGACGUUGAUAGGCCGGGUGUGUAAGCGCAGCGAUGCGUUGAGCUAACCGGUACUAAUGAACCGUGAGGCUUAACCUU
rnacentral:rRNA from 1 species